UGUACUGGUUUGCAGUUUCUCCUAGACAACCCAACUCAAUUUCUGAUGAUGCGGAGGCUGUUACAUUGACUGGCAGCAGCCAGGAUGCAGUCAGUCAGAUUAAUCAGAAGGAAAUACAUUGAGGGUUGCUGGAAGACUCUUUGGAAGAACGCUUGGAAAAGACUGGGGGUUUGCUUUCUGAUUCUGAAAAGGCAGAAGGAGAAACUAAAGAGUCGGAGGAAAUCUACCACUGUUUUGUAAUGUUAACUUUUGAUAUAGGUUAUUUGAUUAAUCUUUUAUUUUGUUGCUUCAGUUCAGUCGAGGUUGAGCAGUCUAUACUUGAUCACAGUAGAUUUUGUAACAAGAAAACAGGUUGAUGAUAUUUAACUUUCAUCAUCAAGUUCUGAGGUUUGUGUUUUUCUCCAAUUAAUUAUUCUUUUAGAUUGAACAUGUCUAUACUCGUCACAUUCUCAGAGACAUAUCUUGCCAUGAAAAGAAUCUGGACUUGAGGCUGGAUCUGUGCACCAAAAGAACUGUAACUACUUUUACUGAUGAUGACUUGGAAAGCCUCAAAUUUUUGAUAAAUUCUGCUAGAUGUUAGGCACCCAAUAAAAGAGAGUUUGAACAAGUUCCCUCGAAGGACUAGUACACCAUCUGGGGUUCACAAUCAAGCACAACAAGCUGAAGAACAGCUACAACAUCA